GAUGAACGCUGGCGGCGUGCCUGAUACAUGCAAGUCGAGCGAACAGAUGAGGAGCUUGCUCCUCUGACGUUAGCGGCGGACGGGUGAGUAACACGUGGAUAACCUACCUAUAAGACUGGGAUAACUUCGGGAAACCGGAGCUAAUACCGGAUAAUAUAUUGAACCGCAUGGUUCAAUAGUGAAAGACGGUUUUGCUGUCACUUAUAGAUGGAUCCGCGCCGCAUUAGCUAGUUGGUAAGGUAACGGCUUACCAAGGCAACGAUGCGUAGCCGACCUGAGAGGGUGAUCGGCCACACUGGAACUGAGAAACGGUCCAGACUCCUACGGGAGGCAGCAGUAGGGAAUCUUCCGCAAUGGGCGAAAGCCUGACGGAGCAACGCCGCGUGAGUGAUGAAGGUCUUCGGAUCGUAAAACUCUGUUAUUAGGGAAGAACAAAUGUGUAAGUAACUAUGCACGUCUUGACGGUACCUAAUCAGAAAGCCACGGCUAACUACGUG
rnacentral:rRNA from 1 species